AGUGAACGCUGGCGGCAGGCCUAAUACAUGCAAGUCGAACGGCAGCACAGCAGAGCUUGCUCUGUGGGUGGCGAGUGGCGGACGGGUGAGGAAUACGUGGGAAUCUGCCCAGUCGUGGGGGAUAACGUAGGGAAACUUACGCUAAUACCGCAUGCGCCCUUCGGGGGAAAGCCGGGGACCUUCGGGCCUGGCGCGAUUGGAUGAGCCCACGUCGGAUUAGCUAGUUGGCGGGGUAAAGGCCCACCAAGGCGACGAUCCGUAGCUGGUCUGAGAGGAUGAUCAGCCACACUGGAACUGAGACACGGUCCAGACUCCUACGGGAGGCAGCAGUAGGGAAUAUUGGACAAUGGGCGCAAGCCUGAUCCAGCCAUGCCGCGUGAGUGAAGAAGGCCCUCGGGUUGUAAAGCUCUUUUGUCCGGAAAGAAAGCGCCGGGUUAAUACCCUGGUGUCCUGACGGUACCGGAAGAAUAAGCACCGGCUAACUUCGUGCCAGCAGCCGCGGUAAAG
rnacentral:rRNA from 1 species